AUUGAACGCUGGCGGCAUGCCUUACACAUGCAAGUCGAACGGUAACAGGUCUUCGGAUGCUGACGAGCGGCGAACGGGUGAGUAAUACAUCGGAACGUGCCCGAGAGUGGGGGAUAACGAAGCGAAAGCUUUGCUAAUACCGCAUACGAUCUCAGGAUGAAAGCAGGGGACCGCAAGGCCUUGCGCUCACGGAGCGGCCGAUGGCAGAUUAGGUAGUUGGUGGGAUAAAAGCUUACCAAGCCGACGAUCUGUAGCUGGUCUGAGAGGACGACCAGCCACACUGGGACUGAGACACGGCCCAGACUCCUACGGGAGGCAGCAGUGGGGAAUUUUGGACAAUGGGCGCAAGCCUGAUCCAGCCAUGCCGCGUGCAGGACGAAGGCCUUCGGGUUGUAAACUGCUUUUGUACGGAACGAAAAGACUCCUUCUAAUAAAGGGGGUCCAUGACGGUACCGUAAGAAUAAGCACCGGCUAACUACGUGCCAGCAGCCGCCGUAAUAC
rnacentral:rRNA from 1 species